rnacentral:rRNA from 1 species
UGAGGGAUAUUGCGCAAUGGGGGAAACCCUGACGCAGCGACGCCGCGUGGGCGAUGAAGGUCUUCGGGUCGUAAAGCCCUUUUGCCAUUGAGGAAGACCACUUCGUGUGGUUUGACAGUAGAUGGCGAAUAAGCCUCGGCUAACUACGUGCCAGCAGCCGCGGUAAAACGUAGGAGGCGAGCGUUAUCCGGAGUUACUGGGCGUAAAGCGCGUGCAGGCGGUUCGGCAAGUGACGGGUGAAAGCGCUCGGCUCAACCGGGCAAGCGCCGGUCAGACUGCGGAACUGGAAUGCCGGAGAGGGACGUGGAAUUCCGGGUGUAGCGGUGAAAUGUGCAGAGAUCCGGAGGAACACCAGCGCCGAAAGGGGCGUCCUGGACGGUGAUUGACGCUGAGACGCGACAGCGUGGGGAGCGAACGGGAUUAGAUACCCCUGUAGUCC